rnacentral:rRNA from 1 species
CAAUAGCGUAUAUUAAAGUUGUUGCGGUUAAAAAGCUCGUAGUUGGAUUUCUGCUGAGGACGACCGGUCCGCCCUCUGGGUGAGUAUCUGGCUCGGCCUGGGCAUCUUCUUGGAGAACGUAGCUGCACUUGACUGUGUGGUGCGGUAUCCAGGACUUUUACUUUGAGGAAAUUAGAGUGUUUCAAGCAGGCGCAUGCCUUGAAUACAUUAGCAUGGAAUAAUAAGAUAGGACCUCGGUUCUAUUUUGUUGGUUUCUAGAGCUGAGGUAAUGAUUAAUAGGGAUAGUUGGGGGCAUUCGUAUUUAAUUGUCAGAGGUGAAAUUCUUGGAUUUAUGAAAGACGAACUUCUGCGAAAGCAUUCGCCAAGGAUGUUUUCAUUGA